rnacentral:lncRNA from 1 species
GUACAAUACAUAAUCAGUGAUGGAUGCUUCUUCCCUCAUUUGAGCAUUAAAGAUGGCACAACCAGUCUUAUGCCUCUCAACAUCGUUGGAUGUGCCAAAAGAUUCGUUCAAUAUUUGCAAUAUAUCUUUUGGCAGAGCAUUCUCAAACGAUGGCUGAACUCAUCAUUCAUUGCUGCCAACAUAAUACAACGAACUGUAGUU